rnacentral:rRNA from 1 species
ACAUGGCUACAAAAUGGCGUUAAUGCACUAAAUCCCAUUAGAACUUCAUAGUUAAGCGCACUCAGGCUAGAGUAGUAUUGGGAUGGGUGACCUUUCGAGAAGUCAUAGUGUUUUACAUGCC